GCCCGGGAGGUCCCUUCUGCCUCGCUCUGUUUCUAUGUUUCUAAAUCUUUAUGGCUGUAAAGCAGAUGAUAUCUGGCCUUUAUUUUGGGUGGGGGUGAUUGCUGUGCACUGAUGCCUAAUGUUGAGGAGCAUGCACACAUUCAUUUUGGGUUUUAGGGUUACCACUGCUCUUCAUUUCCCCCAGAGUUUCAUUAUGUGCUCCAUAGCAGUGGUUUUCAACUCUGUGGUUCCCACUCUGCCGUGUAGCCAACUGGAUGAUUCGGGUCACUCACUCUCAGCCUACAGGGUUGUUGUUUUGAGGAUAAAAUGGAGAGGAGAAGAACCUUGUGAGUUGUCAUGGCUUCCUUCCAGGAGGAAAAAAAACAAUAUAUGCAAUGUAAUAGUAGGAAUCCUGUGCUUGCUCAUAAUUUAGCCAUGCCUCUGAUGAGAGUAUCAUUUUUUAUCUGCAAACAAGUUGUAUUUGCAAGUUAAAAAUGCUUCCAUCAGAAUUAAUGGAGAAACUAAAACAGCUGUUCAGCUCUUUUGUCUCAGACACAAUGGAAGGCAGGAUUCUAACUAUGUAGCCAAUCAUAGCAUGCCCCCACAUAGAUAAAAGCCUCGGCCGGAAAGCAAAGACUGCAUAUAUCGAGAUGUGAGAUUCAGCGCUACAUUACUCCACUUCCAAGUCUAAAGAAUGCAGCCACACAGAUAGCGACUGGGCAAAGGAAUGUUUACUUGUUUGCACAAAUGGCCAACAGCCAAGGCAAGGCAUGAAUGGCAAGGCAAUGACAUUUGUCUUCUCAGAAUCUUUGCAGGUACCUUGCCUUAGGACAAACAACUAGCAGUCUCCUGAACUGUGUUGUUGCAACUGGGCCUGCAAGGACAAGGCACUCACAACAGGAAACCAGGAAUUCUCUUAAUAGUCACAAAGGCCAAGAUAUCCCCCACCAUGCCAUCCUCGAUGGCAUGCAGAUCUUUUGCAAGAACUGCAGCAGCAGUAUCGACCAUGUGGGAAACCAGCUGUUUUCUCUGAAAUUGUCCGGUUUUUCUUCCACCCGGGUUCCUGUGCCUUUGCAGGAUACAUGGUGGACUGAAAUGUCACAUAUGUAAUGUUGCUAAGCAUGUAUAAGCACAGUUUUAAAACCACGGGAGCCUCUCCAUAAAUAAAGGGUUGGUGGCCCCUCUCAUCCAAGUUGUUUUCAGAAUUUGUUCCACAACAUAUGAUGUUCAAUAAAAGCGAUGCCUUUCA